AUCGGAUAUGCAAUCCACCUAGGACUGGAAUACAUUGAGCAACAAUUAAAAGACAUUUAGAAAAAGAAUUCUGGGUAGCAUUCUUGCUACUAUAUUUUUGGAAAGUAACAGAACAAAACUGCGAAAAUUUAGUUAAAAUAAAAUUCUCGAGCAUUUACAGAUUGCCACCUGAAUAUUGAAAAUUCCCACCCACGACUUCUACCUUCUAUACCAAAAUGCUUGAAGAAAUUACUUUUACAGAGCUGGUCUACCAUGUAAGAUCAACUCUCCAGAUAUAGGUAGAAGAAAAUAUUUACAGUAAUCAGAAAAGAACUAUGCCCGACAAAUAUAGUCAUUUGAUUUGCGGAAUUUACUAAUCAAGUUCCAGUACCACUUUACCAGGAAUUAACUUUUUGGCUUUUGCCUCAUGAGCCUCUCUCACUUGUGUGAAGGGAAAUGUUUUCUCAACAGGUAUCUUCAGCCUCCCAGCUUCAAAUAAACGCCGGAUCUCAUCUAAACCAUCUGGAUCAGCUCUCAUGUAAGUCCACCAAUAUUCUAUUCCAUGAGAGUAUCGAUAUUGAAUCUGUUUCUUCAGUAAAAUAGCUGUAGCAACAGGAAGUCCAACUGCUAGUCCAUACCUAUCAGUCAAGGAUGCUGCCUCACCCUGAAGGGUCAUAUAGUGUCCACCCCUCUUCAGAAAAUUGAUGCCAAUUCUUUCUGUUUCUGGUACACCAAUAGUGUCCAAAACAGCAUCAAACUUCCCCUUUAUUGCUAGUUCAAUGUCCUCAGCAAUGUAGUCAACAGCCUGCUCAGCACCAGCUUUCAGUACUCCUUCUAUGCUUUGACUUCCACAAGUAGUUGUAACAUGGCACCCUGCAGCUACUGCAAGCUGAAUUGCAGUAAAGCCUACCGCUCCACCACCACCCACUACUAACAGUCGUUGCCCCUCAGUAAUCCUAGCCGUACUUUUUAGAGCACGCCAUGCAGUUAGUGCAGCAAAAGGAAUAGCACUUGCUUCCACGUGUGUAACUGAUAUUGGCUUUGGGGUAAGUUCAUCUUCUGAAAGAACUGCAUAGUCAGUAUAAGUACCUCUCACAGCAGUUGGAUGCAAUGCACCAAAAACUUCUUGCCCAACACUCAGUGACUGAACUGAAGUUCCAACAGCUGUAACUUCACCACUAAUAUCACGACCCAAAAUGAGAGGUAGCAGAGGUUCAAAUAUGGAUCGACCAUAACCUGAUCGCAUUCUAGUAUCAAGAGGAUUGAUAGAGACAGCACGAGCUCGAACAAGGACUUGAUUGGGCUUGAGCUGGGGGACCUCAACAUCGGACCGGAGUUCCAGCACUUCAGGCCCGCCGAAGCGGGGCAACAGCACCGCCCGGCAAGUGGUGGCGAAAAACCUAAAAAAGCUUAACUGGAAUAAUUGGCAAUCACAAUUGACAGCAGCGUUUUUGAAGGUGUGAAGUUUGAAGAAUUGCAUUGUUGUUUUGUUAGUGUGGAGAACUGAGAGAAAGGACUAAGAAGUGUUAGGUUAGGGUUUUUGAAUGAAUAAAUGGAGAGCGGAGCCGGAGAGCAACGGAUGGGUGGAACGUCCACGCGUCCCUGCUACUAU
rnacentral:misc_RNA from 1 species